rnacentral:rRNA from 1 species
GACGAACGCUGGCGGCGUGCUUAACACAUGCAAGUCGAACGGAAAGGCCCUGCUUUUGUGGGGUUCUCGAGUGGCGAACGGGUGUGUAACACGUGAGUAACCUGCCCUUGACUUUGGGAUAACUUCAGGAAACUGGGUCUAAUACCGGAUAGGAGCUCCUGCUGCAUGGUGGGGGUUGGAAAGUUUCGGCGGUUGGGGAUGGACUCGCGGCUUAUCAGCUUGUUGGUGGGGUAGUGGCUUACCAAGGCUUUGACGGGUAGCCGGCCUGGGAGGGGGACCGGCAACAUUGGGACUGAGAUACGGCCCAGACUCCUACGGGAGGCAGAAGGGGGGAAUAUUGAACAAUGGGCGGAAGCCUGAUGCAGCAACGCCGCGUGCGGGAUGACGGCCUUCGGGUGUUAACCCGCUUUCGCCUGUGACGAAGCGUGAGUGACGGUAAUGGGUAAAGAAGCACCGGCUAACUACGUG